UGGAAUCAAACGAGAGCAGUAACACACAAAAUUCCGAUCUGAGGAGAGAAAAUGAACAACACAUUUCGGAAAAAAGGAAGAAAGCAGAUUUGUUUAAGCACUAUAAGAAAAAACUGGCAGAAAAAGAUGGGAGGAUUAUGCAGCUGGAAAGCGAGCUGAAAGGAAAAACACUGGAAUUAGAGAAGUAAGUUUAAAAGCGUUUGUAAUCAAGAUGGAAAAUAAGUGUGUAAAUAUUACUCAUUGUAAAACUGCGAG